UGCAACUCAGAAUCUGCCUUUAAAAAACAAGGUAACAGGUAACUGCCUCUUUAAAAACCUAUAAAUAACAGCUGUUACAUAACAAAAUGGACUUUAUUUAAAAACCAUACAAACCACACCAAUUCGAGGUGAAAAUGAGGAGAAAUCCAACUUUAAGAGUCAAAACCUAAAGUUUAUAUCAUUUUUACUCAUUUGCCUUUUUUUCUAUUUGUAAGCACAAACUCAUUGGAGUUUGCAAAAGUCUCAUUUCAACUUCUUUAAUAUCCUUUUUCCCCUACCUUCAUAGCUUUCCUAAACUAGGGAAAGUUAUUUUCUCCCCCAUUUCCACCUUUUUCCCAAACAGGUGGAGAGAAAAGAACAAUCUACCACCACCAUUUUAUAUUCCAUCAUUUUCUCCUCCACCCUUCUUUUUGAGACAUAUUUUUCCCCGAACAAAACAUAAAGAAAUGGUGCUCACCAUUAUGCAAAUAAGAUGUACAAUGGAAAAACUCACACUGCCCAAAUUAAGAAUCACAUUGCAAAAAAACUUGAACAGCUUAACUCCAAGUAUUCUAGCAAUGCAUUAUCAAAUUUUUUGGAUUUUCUUUCCAAUGUCAUUUGUUGGUACAAUGUACAAGAGAGAUGAUCACCUACAAAUAUUAAACCUUUCAUUCUCAACUUGGUAUGAAUAUUUCGAUGUAUAACACCGAUACAAAUUAUUGAGGCAUUAUUUGAAUAACUUAUUAGGAUGCAUUUGAUACACUAGAUGGAUGUGAUAGGAUGGGACAUGAAGUUUUCGGCAAGUACAUGCGAAGGACAAUAGGCAUGUUCACAUCAUGUCCCAUCCACAAUUAUUCUUUUUUAGUCAAUUAGGUGAAAACUUGUCCAUUCAUAGGACAAAAUCCACAACUUCUCAUUUCAAGAAUGCCCUUUAUUCCAAAUGAAAAUUGCCUUCACCUAUGUAGUAUGGAAACAAAAAUGUGGAAAUGGACAUAUAUAAACAAUAUUUCUGAAAAAAUAGGAAAUUCAUAAAUAUUAAUUUUUGUAUAAAAAUUUUAGAAACAAUUAUAAUUUGUAUGCCUAUUAAAAAAUUUUAGGUCUUCUAAUUUCUCAAAAAUAUGAGAAAUAUGUAAAUAUUAAAAACAUAGGGUAUACUUAUAAAUAUUAAUAAAAAUUAUAAAAAAUGAUCAUAAUUUAUGAAAAAGGAUAUGCAUAGCAUUUGCUGCUCAAUGGCCAAAAAACACUUAAUCGAAAUAGAAAAGGGAAGGUUAUUUUAACAAAAUAAAAAACUUGAGGUUAGAAUGAUGGUGACAAAGACAGGUGGUCAUUGGUGAUUUGGCGUAAAUAUCUCAGCUAGUGAUGGGGCUAACAUUUAAAUUAAAUGAAUGAAAAUAAUUUAUUUUUAUAUUAAAGUAAUCUUACAUAUUGUAGUCAUUUUAAUUACUUAUUACAUGUUUUGUUUUACCUUGUCUAAUUUACAUCAAACAUAACAUGGAACAAUAUAUAAUUACUUGUCUUGUGAUGGAUUGCCCUAUCUUGUUUAGUCCCACAUUGUCCUAUCCAAACACCAAAACUUUAGCAAUCUAUUUACUUGAUCUAGUAUAUAUAAAUGCAACAUUCACAACAACAACAUUUCUCACAAGUUCAAAAUAUUUAACCAAUUAACCAUCAAUGAAGUAGUAAGCAAGCAUAGCAUAUCAAAGUAACUAGACAUGGAUGUUCAUGGCUUUUCAUCAAUGCCGCUUGCUAUGCACGAUUGCACGUAUAUGCCAUAUGCUACAAUGCAGAAAAUAUAAGAUAAAGUUUUUGGAGAAAAAGUAUGUAUGCCUUUGCUUAAUAUUACCUUCUACUUUGCCAUGUAUCAUCAAAAUUCCAAUUAGAGAGCUCAUUUGUAAUAUAGCAUAAGGAAAAUUAGAGGAAAUAAAAUGGCAAACAAGUUAUUUGAUAAUAUGUAGGAUCAAUGACCCAAAAAUUCCAAUUCUUUUCUCAAAUUCUGAGUUAUAACCAAUAGUUUAAUUUUGUCAGUUAUAUAUACAAUCUUUCACAUUGAUAUCAAUCGUAGCCAAACUGCUGAAGGCAUACAUAAAAACUCUAAAAUUGCUAACAUGACAUAUUUUAUUCAAAAACUUUUUACAUUAGCAUAUGAAAUAUGAUAUGGUAUAUUUGAGUGUAAUACCCCACAACAGUUAAUUUCAUUUAAAAAAUAAUUUAUUUUUUAACAAAAAUUAUUUUUUGAAAAAAAUUUUUACAUAAAGAAAAGGCUAAAAAAAUCAUUCUAAUUUUUUCCACCACAUACUCUCUCUACUCUAUUUGUCCCCUUAAAUAGUUUACGUAAAACUUUUGCAAAUAAACAUAUGCCAUCCAAGCAGAUGGAGAGCUGUUGCACAUAUCCUUCCAAGUUUGGCUACAAUUGAUACCAAUAUGAAAAUUUGAUUAUAUAAUUGAAAAAAAAAAUUAAAUAGGUGGCCAUAACUGCAAAUUGGAUCGAAGAUUCAAAUUUUUUUUUAUCAUUAACCCUAAAUGUAUGAUGCUUACAUCAUCAGCAAUUUGCAAUUGUCCAUUUUGAUCCUGCACGAACAAAAUACAAUUUGCUCUAAUUCCUGACAUAAAUGGAACCAAAUCAAGCUUUAAAAAAAAUAAAGGGUCAGCAUAAUCAAGUGUCAACUGUCAAGUAACAUUAGGGAAACAAAUUUUGUCAUAACCUCCUCGGGUAUAAUAAAGUAAACAAGUACAAUUUUCAACAUAUUAUAUUAGCACAAAUAUAAGAAAGUAUACUUAGAAAAUUUUAGUUCUACUGCUCAUCUUAAAAUCAAAAUGUCAAAAGAAUAUUAAAAAAAAACAAUAACCAAUUAUUAACUAAAAAAGGUAAUGAAAUAGUAUAAUAGUACAGUGAUUUUUAAAGAAUCAUAUUUACAAUACCUAAUUGUUUUUUAGUUUGGCAAAACACAUUAUUUGGUCUCUGAACUUUUCUAUUUUAUGGAAUCCCCCAUAGAUUUAUUUCAUCAAUUUGCAUCCUUGAACUUUUAUUUAUUUAUUUAUUUACAUUGAGAACUUCUUUACAGUAGUUAAGCGUGUGCUUUAUACAUGAUGUUAAAUGAGAAUUAAACUAAAGGAUAUAUUUUCAGCUGGAAAAAGAAAAGCAAAAACAAAAAUUAAAUCCAUUCUUUGCCUUCGAGAACUAAAGAAGAGGAAGAAGAUAACCAGUCACUACAACCUUUGUUUCCAGCGAUUCCAAUGACGAUCAAAGCAACCCAGCCCUUUCAUUGCAUCUAAUCAUUUGUAGAGCCACAACUUUGGACAAUUGCAUUAGUUUUUGAAGGGAGAAGCAAAUCGAAGGUUUUCAAAGAUGAAACUUACGACAUUGGAUUCACAUAGUUCCAGAUUUGUCAUAGUUCCAGAAUUGUUUCCACAUUUGGUGGCUACCAUGGAGGCUGUAUGAACUUGCUCUUGACAGCAACAAAGAGAAGUGGGUCAGAUGGUGUAUAAAUCAUGUAAUGAGCACCAUCCAGAUGGAAGCAUGCAAUCUCUACACCUUCAGUUGGCAAGCCAUCUACAUCUUGACCAUCAUCUGUGCGGAAAUCAAAUAUGUCAUCUUCAGAGUAAUAAAAUCCCCCCCUUGCUGUAUAACAGAAUCCGCUAUGUACCAGGUGCAUGUGUAUCUUGGCAAGAGCAUAUGCUGCAGCUGGAAGAAUAGCUUCAGCUUCUUCAUCACUGACAGCUGACCACCCAUCAAUAUUCUUGCUCUUUAAUAUCUGCACAGGCGUGUCUACUGGGCAUAGCAGCAUGCACUCAUCCCCUUGUGAACUUCUAAAUACUCUCCUUAUGAUGCAUUCUAAUGGAUAAUUAUUGGAGGAAUCAACGAUGGUAGCAAUCCGCUUGUUAGAAGCCAUGAGAACCCUCCCACUUUCAUCCAACACGAAUCCCGCCGGCGGCUUCGGCAGUGGCGUAUUCGGAAUGUACGACAAUGACCUCGAAUUUGAACUAGAAUUUGAGUACGAAUCCUCAUUAUUAUCAUCAGCUACCUCGUCUUUAACGAUUUCGACAUCCCUCAGGUUAUCGCUGCCGCCAGUUUUGCUUCUUUUCUUCUUCUUCUUCUGGCUAGCAGAGGCGGAAGAAGAAGAGGAAGAGGAAGA
rnacentral:misc_RNA from 1 species